rnacentral:rRNA from 1 species
GAUGAACGCUGGCGGCGUGCCUAAUACAUGCAAGUCGAGCGAACGGACGAGAAGCUUGCUUCUCUGAUGUUAUCGGCGGACGGGUGAUUAACACGUGGAUAACCUACCUAUAAGACUGAGAUAACUUCGGGAAACCGGAGCUAAUACCGGAUAAUAUUUUGAACCUCAUGGUUCAAAAGUUAAAGACGGUCUUGCUGUCACUUAUAGAUUGAUCCGCGCUGCAUUAGCUAGUUGGUAAGGUAACGGCUUACCAAGGCAACGAUGCAUAGCCGACCUGAGAGGGUGAUCGGACACACUGGAACUGAGACACGGUACAGACUCCUACGGGAGGAAGCAGUAGGGACUCUUACGCAAUGGAGGAAAGCCUGACGGAGCAACGCGGCGUGAGUGAUGAAGGUCUUCGGAUCGUAAAACUCUGUUAUUAGGGAAGAACAUAUGUGUAAGUAACUGUGAACAUCUUGACGGUACCUAAUCAGAAAGCCACGGCUAACUACGUG